UAGGGAAUCUUCCACAAUGGACGCAAGUCUGAUGGAGCAACGCCGCGUGAGUGAAGAAGGUUUUCGGAUCGUAAAGCUCUGUUGUUGGUGAAGAAGGAUAGAGGCAGUAACUGGUCUUUCUUUGACGGUAAUCAACCAGAAAGUCACGGCUAACUACGUGCCAGCAGCCGCGGUAAUACGUAGGUGGCAAGCGUUGUCCGGAUUUAUUGGGCGUAAAGCGAGCGCAGGCGGAAUGAUAAGUCUGAUGUGAAAGCCCACGGCUCAACCGGGGAACUGCAUCGGAAACUGUCAUUCUUGAGUGCAGAAGAGGAGAGUGGAAUUCCAUGUGUAGCGGUGGAAUGCGUAGAUAUAUGGAAGGACACCAGUGGCCAAGGCGGGUCUCUGGUCUGCAACUGACGCUGAGGCUCGAAAGCAUGGGUAGCGAACAGG
rnacentral:rRNA from 1 species